CGGUCGCCAGGAUGCGCUGCACGGUCUGCAGGACGUUGGUUGCCAUGGUGACAUCGCCGCAGACAAACAUGUGGCCCCGCUCAAGGCACAGAACGCGGUGCACCUCCGCAGCCAGCUCCGUCCUUAGGAUGUCCUGCACAUUACCAUUGCGCUCUGAGGGUCUCACACCUUGGGAUUGUCGGGUUCCCGGGAGAAGGCGGUGAGGACUCGGCCAAACACCCCGCGCUGCUGGGCGUCGUGCACCUCGUCGCGGUAGAGAUGGUCAAGUUGGGAGCACCGGCAGCCGAACACCAAAGUCAUGGGGGCAGGCUGCAGCCCUGCAAGCAGCAGCGGCUUGGGAAGGCCCUUCUUUCAGGGCACAGGGCCAGCGGUGCCCCCCACUGGCCACCAUCGCCCAGCCUGGCAGCCCAGCAUUUUGGGCUGAAGCCACCAUUACUUUGGCUGUUUCAUCUCUAAGAGCAUGCAGAAUGCUUUCACAGAGACCCUGCACACGCCUGAUUUAUAGAAGAAAGGGGAGCGCAGGUGAAGUGGUGAUUUCCUUCAUGAGGCUGAGGCGGCUGAGGCAGGAGGAUCACUUGAGGCCAGGAGUUCAAGGUCAGCCUGGGCAACGUACAUAGAUUCUCAAAAUAAAUAAAACAAAGAAAAGAAGAAAAGAAAUGCUGGAAUAGUGUUGUAGGUGUUGUAAAUUACAGCUUUUUUAUGGAUUGUUACAAACUGAACACACCUGUGUAUCCGGCAUCCCUUAAGAAAUAUUACCCGAGUCCUGGAAGCCGC